CCCCUGCCACGUAAGUUAAGUGGAAACGUAUUUCCACAUUUGCGUUUCGAUAAGAGAAAGCUUAAAGUACUGCAGCCUUUGCGCAGAAUACGUUUUCCUUGUUCAAAAGCGUAUUCCGUUUCCACUGCAUCUGAAAGUACGCUUUCCCUAUGCAGAAGACGUAUUACCUCAAAGGCAUUUUCUGUUUUCUCAUUCAUGGGCCUGUUUGUAGAAAUAUUUUACAGAUUGGUCCCUGGACUUCGUUGGGCUAUAACUUUUUGCUCGAGACUCUGAUUGAGGUGAAUCCAACGCCCACAUCUUCGUCUCGUCGAGCUCUAUCCGUUGGUGUCAUUUUGACAAAGUUGUCACGUAGUGAAAAUGACCUUUUUGCCAUUGCCCCUAAUCAGCCCCCUCCGAGGGAGAAACUUUUCCGGCGAUUCCCUCCGCGAUCUUUCUGCACUACUCCCAGGAGUAUUCUUCAUCCCCAGGCAAGCCACAACCACCAUUUGCAUGAUAGCCAUGCAGUAGUAUUGGUUUUCAACUUGAAUUUUAAAUAACUAUCUAUUUGUUUUGCUACUGCUAUUGUUGUUUCAGUUAUGCUUUGGAUCUGUGUUUACUUUCAUGAUAUGUUUUAUACACCUGGUUAUCAUGCACUAGUUGCUAGUAUUUCUGUCAUAUGUCAUGUUUUGUAGUAUUUCAUGUUGGUGUUGGUCAUGUACUUCGAAGCAUGACUAUCGUCUGCUACCGAGUAUCGUGAUUAGGCAUGUUCCAUUGCAUCUAGAUGGUUAUAUGCUUCUUGGUAGUAUUGUUGAUAUGUUCUUGAUUAGUAUUUAUUGUUUAUGCUGGUCAUGUUAUGCUAUGCGUAUUGUUAUGCUUGUGAUAUUCAUGCUCGUCAAUAUGCCGUACUCAUUCGGAUAUACGAUUCAUUGUUGAUAUGGUUGAUAGUUAUGUUGCACCCCAUGCUUAUAUCAUGCUCAUGCAUUGUAAUUGCAUCAUGUUAUUUUAUCAUGGCUCAGCAUCUUGCAUUCAAGUUUAGCCGGAUUAAAUUGAACUUGAACAACUAUUGGCUGAGUCAUGGUGCCACCAUAACGAGCUGACUAGGGCAACCACAUUUACCUUUAAUGGGGAGGUCCUAACUGGGUCUAUUGUCAUGCCUCUCGCCGGUGCCUCCAACGAGGGAAGGUUAUGCGCGGGCGCUACCCUGAUGAGGUAGGACGGCAUAAGCCUUGUGUGCCCGUAGUUGUUGUAGCCGGCAUUUCCCCGUUUGGGACCGUUUUUGUUUUGCCACGACGGUGUCCGUUGAUACCUUUGGUAGGCACGGGGCCACCCAGGACUUGUACCAGGGGGGAGCUGGCCGAAGUGGCCUGGGAAGUGUCAUGGCAGUAGGACGGUUUUGUCGGAACGCCAUUGGUCCACCCGAAUGGGAGUACGAGGCCAUGGGUUCCGUGGUGUGGGUACAGUGCACUACCUCUACACAGUGUGUAUUAAAUCUAUCGAUAGCCGCGCCCGCGGAUAAGGACCCAGUUCGUAGUUGGUCACACUAUGGGUCAACAGUAAUAAUAAUAAUGUGCUUAAUAAUAACCCAGGUCCGAUGAUGAGGAAGAGGUUGAUUGUGAUCGUGAGAUGAUCACCGUGGUAUCGAGGAUACCGAGUUGUUGGAUAUUUGUGGUGUUAUGCGGGAGUCACGGGUUAAGGUCAAGCUCCUUGUGGUCAUGAAUGAUUACUACGUUAUUGUAAUACCAAGCUUGAUUGGAUCAUGAGGUGAUCGUGUGAUGUCCGUGAUGGUAAGUUUGUGCAUGUGAUGGUUACGAGGUUACCCGAGCAGAGUAAGUUGGUGCAUGAUGGCGUUAUCAUGUUGCAUGUUAGUAUCAUCAUGUUCACAUGUUCAUGCCAUGCUUGUAUUGUUCUAGCUAUAUCAUGUUUAUCUUGUUCAUGCUAUGAUUAAUCUGAUAGUAUCAUGUUAAUCCUUGUUAACCUGUAUUGCCAUGUUGUUGUGUGUCUUGAUUGCUCUUGGUUGCUGUGAGCUUGCAAGUACAUUCAAUGUACUGACCUGGCGUGUCAUGCCAGUUUGCAGGUCAUGCAGGAUUUGAUUGCUUGUUUGCCGUGGAUUCCUUGUUUGCGAGCUAGGAUAAGUGUCCCAGUCAGAAUCCCUGCGGAGUGGAGUUCAUCACCAUCGUCGCUGUUCCGCUGCCAGUAGUGAUUCCACUGCUUCGUGUUGUUCUGCUACUUGCAUAGAGAAACCGUGGCCGGCGUAGUGUCGCCAUGCCGAUGUAUCCCCUUGUACCCAAUAUAGAUUGAAAUAAAGAGCUGAUUUGU
rnacentral:lncRNA from 1 species